rnacentral:rRNA from 1 species
UCAAGAUGAGAUAUCCCUCACAUAAGUGAGUAAGAUCCCUUGAAGAGUACAAGGUAGAUAGGGCAGAGGUGGAAGCACGGUAACGUGUGGAGCUGACUGUUACUAAUCGAUCGAGGGCUUGACCAAAUA